AGGUUAAGUUAACAAGGGCGCAUGGUGAAUGCCUUGGCACUAGGAGCCGAUGAAGGACGGGACUAACACCGAUAUGCUUCGGGGAGCUGUACGUAAGCUAUGAUCCGGAGAUUUCCGAAUGGGGCAACCCAGCAGUUUUAAUCAACUGUUACCACUAGAUGAAGUCAUAGUCUAGUUGGAGGUAAACGCUGUGAACUGAAACAUCUCAUUAGCAGCAGGAAUAUAAAGAAAUUUCGAUUCCCUAAGUAGCGGCGAGCGAACGGGGAACAGCCCAAACCAAAGUGCUUGCACUUUGGGGUUGUAGGACUGAACAUU
rnacentral:rRNA from 1 species